GAUGAACGCUGGCGGCGUGCCUAAUACAUGCAAGUCGAGCGAACAGACGAGGAGCUUGCUCCUUUGACGUUAGCGGCGGACGGGUGAGUAACACGUAGGUAACCUACCUAUAAGACUGGGAUAACUUCGGGAAACCGGAGCUAAUACCGGAUAAUAUUUCGAACCGCAUGGUUCGAUAGUGAAAGAUGGCUUUGCUAUCACUUAUAGAUGGACCUGCGCCGUAUUAGCUAGUUGGUAAGGUAACGGCUUACCAAGGCAACGAUACGUAGCCGACCUGAGAGGGUGAUCGGCCACACUGGAACUGAGACACGGUCCAGACUCCUACGGGAGGCAGCAGUAGGGAAUCUUCCGCAAUGGGCGAAAGCCUGACGGAGCAACGCCGCGUGAGUGAUGAAGGUCUUCGGAUCGUAAAACUCUGUUAUUAGGGAAGAACAAACGUGUAAGUAACUGUGCACAUCUUGACGGUACCUAAUCAGAAAGCCACGGCUAACUACGUG
rnacentral:rRNA from 1 species